CAAUUAAAUCAAUUAAAUUGCAAUCCAAUUGCAAAUCCUUCUUCUUUAACUCACUAACUUUUAGCGGGUUAAACCAAUUGUCAAUCAAAUUGACAAUCAAUUUUAAUUGCGAAUCUAAACCGCAAUCCAACCGUCGGAACGAUCAAAACCUCUAAUGUUUGUGACCCCGUAGGUUCUAUUCUGAUUGGUAGUGAGAUAUAUUAUGAUCUCCAUCAUAAUAUCAUCGAAACUUCUUUCAAUGGGUUGAAACGAUUUCAACUGUACUCUUAGGAUUCACUGAUCACCAAGUGAAUGCCUUUAAGUCUCACAAUCCACUAGUGAUACCUAGCAGCAUAUAGUGACAAUCCAGCAGAACAGAAGGGAUGAACCUCUAGGUGCAGUUAGCGUAUGAUAUAGUACCUCUAUCGUAGAUCCUGACAUGACGAAGGUUAUGAAUAACUCGUCAAAUCCCAUCGUCUGUCUUAUGUCAGAUUUCUUUGACUCAAGUUCGAGAUUGGAAAACUCUUUUUUCAGAACUGCCCUGACCAAGGUCUUUCGAACUUAAUCUUAUAAAUCACAUAGGAUCACUCCUAAUCUAUCAAGGUCGAUAGAUCCCAUCUAGAUGCAACCCUAAUCCGACAGCGAACCUACUGCAGCCAAUCUGCACCACAAGAACACUUAGGGCUCAUGUUUAUGUGCUCGUCAAACUACAGAAACCUCACCGUGACUAGUUGAGGCAUCGCAGAUCUAAGUACUAGUCAUACAACUGCAGCAUCAAGUAAGUCACUGACGAAUGGAUAGACAUACAAGUGACUUCUUGCUUUGGUCACGCUCAGUACUCUUAUCUCUAACAAGCACUUGCACA
rnacentral:lncRNA from 1 species